GACUGUGACUCUUUGGUGACAUCACAGAGCUCACAGGAGUGCCAGUUGUAGGCAGCAGCAAAGCAGUGUGAAAUUUCAGGCAGAACUUUCCCAAGGUUGAAGCAUGGUUACAGGAGCUUGUGAUAAGAAGAGCUGAGCAAUGGACAGUCAUCAGUUCUGUCACCGGUCAUCACUUCUGUUAAUUAUGGCAAAGCUAUGAAGAAAGCGACAGUGGGAUACAGAAGAUGCUUUAAUUCCA
rnacentral:lncRNA from 1 species